GGGCGCGUAGCUCAGCGGGAGAGCACACCCUUCACACGGGUGGGGUCGUAGGUUCAAUCCCUACCGCGCCCACCA
rnacentral:tRNA from 10 species